rnacentral:rRNA from 1 species
GAUGAACGCUGGCGGCGUGCCUAAUACAUGCAAGUCGAGCGAACGGACGAGAAGCUUGCUUCUCUGAUGUUAGCGGCGGACGGGUGAGUAACACGUGGAUAACCUACCUAUAAGACUGGGAUAACUUCGGGAAACCGGAGCUAAUACCGGAUAAUAUUUUGAACCGCAUGGUUCAAAAGUAAAAGACGGUCUUGCUGUCACUUAUAGAUGGAUCCGCGCUGCAUUAGCUAGUUGGUAAGGUAACGGCUUACCAAGGCAACGAUGCAUAGCCGACCUGAGAGGGUGAUCGGCCACACUGGAACUGAGACACGGUCCAGACUCCUACGGGAGGCAGCAGUAGGGAAUCUUCCGCAAUGGGCGAAAGCCUGACGGAGCAACGCCGCGUGAGGGAUGAAGGUCUUCGGAUCGUAAAACUCUGUUAUUAGGGAAGAACAUAUGUGUAAGUAACUGUGCACAUCUUGACGGUACCUAAUCAGAAAGCCACGGCUAACUACGUG